rnacentral:rRNA from 1 species
GGUUAAGCGAACAAGCGUACACGGUGGAUGCCCUGGCAGUCAGAGGCGAUGAAGGACGUGCUAAUCUGCGAAAAGCGCCGGUAAGGUGAUAUGAACCGUUAUAACCGGCGAUGUCCGAAUGGGGAAACCCGGUGCACUUCGGUGCAUCAUCGUUAGCUGAAUACAUAGGCUAACGAGGCGAACCGGGGGAACUGAAACAUCUAAGUACCCCGAGGAAAAGAAAUCAACCGAGAUUCCCCCAGUAGCGGCGAGCGAACGGGGAACAGCCCAGAGCCUGAAUCAGCUUGUGUGUCAGUGGAACGGUCUGGAAAGGCCGGCGAUACAGGGUGACAGCCCCGUACACGAAGGCACACAGGCUGUGAGCUCGAUGAGUAGGGCGGGACACGUGAUAUCCUGUCUGAAGAUGGGGGGGACCAUCCUCCAAGGCUAAAUACUCCUGACUGACCGAUAGUGAACCAGUACCGUGAGGGAAAGGCGAAAAGAACCCCGGCGAGGGGAGUGAAACAGAACCUGAAACCGUGUACGUACAAGCAGUGGGAGCCUUCGUAAGAGGGUGACUGCGUACCUUUUGUAUAAUGGGUCAGCGACUUAUAUUCUGUAGCAAGGUUAACCGUAUAGGGGAGCCGAAGGGAAACCGAGUCUUAAUUGGGCGUUAAGUUGCAGGGUAUAGACCCGAAACCCGGUGAUCUAGCCAUGGGCAGGUUGAAGGUUGGGUAACACUAACUGGAGGACCGAACCGACUAAUGUUGAAAAAUUAGCGGAUGACCUGUGGCUGGGGGUGAAAGGCCAAUCAAACCGGGAGAUAGCUGGUUCUCCCCGAAAGCUAUUUAGGUAGCGCCUCGUGAACUCAUCUCCGGGGGUAGAGCACUGUUUCGGCUAGGGGGCCAUCCCGGCUUACCAACCCGAUGCAAACUGCGAAUACCGGAGAAUGUUAUCACGGGAGACACACGGCGGGUGCUAACGUCCGUCGUGAAGAGGGAAACAACCCAGACCGCCAGCUAAGGUCCCAAAGUCAUGGUUAAGUGGGAAACGAUGUGGGAAGGCCCAGACAGCCAGGAUGUUGGCUUAGAAGCAGCCAUCAUUUAAAGAAAGCGUAAUAGCUCACUGGUCGAGUCGGCCUGCGCGGAAGAUGUAACGGGGCUAAACCAUGCACCGAAGCUGCGGCAGCGAC